UACGUAGGGGCAAGCGUUGUCCGGAAUCAUUGGGCGUAAAGCGCGUGUAGGCGGCUUGGUAAGUCCGCUCUGAAAGCCCGGGGCUCAACCCCGGGAGGCGGGUGGAUACUGUCAAGCUCGAGUCCGGAAGAGGCGAGUGGAAUUCCUGGUGUAGCGGUGAAAUGCGCAGAUAUCAGGAGGAACACCAAUGGCGAAGGCAGCUCGCUGGGACGUGACUGACGCUGAGACGCGAAAGCGUGGGGAGCAAACAGG
rnacentral:rRNA from 1 species